rnacentral:rRNA from 1 species
GUGUCAGCCGCCGCGGUAACACGUAGGGGGCGAGCGUUGUCCGGAUUUAUUGGGCGUAAAGAGCUCGUAGGCGGCUUGGUAAGUCAGGUGUGAAAACUCCGAGCUCAACUCGGAGACGCCAUCUGAUACUGCCAUGGCUAGAGUCCGGUAGGGGAGUGCGGAAUUCCUGGUGUAGCGGUGAAAUGCACAGAUAUCAGGAGGAACACCGAUGGCGAAGGCAGCACUCUGGGCCGGUACUGACGCUGAGGAGCGAAAGCGUGGGUAGCAAACAGGAUUAGAAACCCGGGUAGUCC